AAGCUCGUAGUUGAAUUUCGGGGUUCUACCGUUGGUCGGGCAAUAGUCUGUACUGGCGUGUAGAAUUUCUACCUUCUGGGGAACCAUCAUGUUAUUUAUUUAGCGUGGUGGGAAACCAGGACCUUUACCUUGAAAAAAUUAGAGUGUUCAAAGCAGGCUUACGUCUGAAUACAUUAGCAUGGAAUAAUAAAAUAGGACGGUGGUCCUGUUUUGUUGGUUUCUGAAUCACCGUAAUGAUUAAUAGGGAUAGUUGGG
rnacentral:rRNA from 1 species